rnacentral:tRNA from 1 species
UGGAAUGUAGCUCAGUGGCGGAGCACUUGCCUGGCACGCACAGGGCCCUGGGUUCCAUCCCCAGUGUCUCGA